AAGAUCGUGCUUCAUAGGAUCAUUUCUAUAGUACGAUCGCCGAGACGCAUCCGCGAUCUCGGAUCACACUCGACCACGAUGAUGAGUUGAGGGUCUCCGCCUGAGCGUGAAGUCGGCAUCGGGACUGUGGGUCUUGACCCGGGUUCCUGCCAUUGAUGACCGUUCCCUCAGCCCUUGUGGCUGAAGGGUGGGCGGAGACUCGGGCUGAGUGGC
rnacentral:snoRNA from 1 species